rnacentral:rRNA from 1 species
AUUGAACGCUGGCGGCAGGCUUAACACAUGCAAGUCGAACGAGUGGCGGACGGGUGAGUAAUGUCUGGGAAACUUGCUAAUGGAGGGGGAUAACUACUGGAAACGGUAGCUAAUACCGCAUACCAUCAGAUGUGCCCAAAUGGGAUUAGGUUGUUGGUGGGGUAACGGCUCACCAAGGCGACGAUCUCUAGCUGGUCUGAGAGGAUGACCAGACACACUGGGACUGAGACACGGCCCAGACUCCAACGGGAGGCAGCAGUGGGGAAUAUUGCACAAUGGGCGCAAGCCGGAUGCAGCCAUGCCGCGUGGAUGAAGAAGGCCUUCGGGUUGUAAAGUUCUUUCCGUGGUGAGGCGUUACCCGCAGAAGAAGCACCGGCUAACUCCGUGCCAGCCGCCGCGGUAAUUC